rnacentral:rRNA from 1 species
UACGUAGGUGACAAGCGUUGUCCGGAUUUACUGGGCGUAAAGAGCGCGCAGGCGGUCGUUCAAGUCGAGUGUGAAAGCCCCCGGCUCAACUGGGGAGGGUCAUUCGAUACUGAUCGACUCGAAGGCAGGAGAGGGAAGUGGAAUUCCCGGUGUAGUGGUGAAAUGCGUAGAUAUCAGGAGGAACACCGGUGGCGAAGGCGGGUCUCUGGGCCGUAACUGACGCUGAGGAGCGAAAGCAUGGGGAGCGAACAGG